UACGUAGGGUGCAAGCGUUAAUCGGAAUUACUGGGCGUAAAGCGUGCGCAGGCGGUUGUGCAAGACCGAUGUGAAAUCCCCGGGCUUAACCUGGGAAUGGCGAUGGUGACUGCAAGGCUAGAGUUUGGCAGAGGGGGGUAGAAUUCCACGUGUAGCAGUGAAAUGCGUAGAGAUGUGGAGGAACACCGAUGGCGAAGGCAGCCCCCUGGGUCAAGACUGACGCUCAUGCACGAAAGCGUGGGGAGCAAACAGG
rnacentral:rRNA from 1 species